UACGUAGGGUGCAAGCGUUGUCCGGAAUUAUUGGGCGUAAAGAGCUCGUAGGCGGCUUGUCGCGUCGGAUGUGAAAGCCCGGGGCUUAACCCUGGGUCUGCAUUCGAUACGGGCAGGCUAGAGUUCGGUAGGGGAGAUCGGAAUUCCUGGUGUAGCGGUGAAAUGCGCAGAUAUCAGGAGGAACACCGGUGGCGAAGGCGGAUCUCUGGGCCGAUACUGACGCUGAGGAGCGAAAGCGUGGGGAGCGAACAGG
rnacentral:rRNA from 1 species